UACGUAGGUGGCAAGCGUUACUCGGAAUCACUAGGCGUAAAGCGCAGGUAGGCGGUUGGAUAAGUUUCUUGUGAAAGCUCCUGGCUUAACUGGGAGAGGUCGAGGAAUACUGUCUGACUUGAGUGUGGUAGGGGUAACUGGAAUUCCCGGUGUAGCGGUGAAAUGCGUAGAUAUCGGGAGGAAUACCUAUGGCGAAGGCAGGUUACUGGGCCAUCACUGACGCUGAGCUGCGAAAGCUAGGGGAGCAAACAGG
rnacentral:rRNA from 1 species